AUACGUAGGGGGCGAGCGUUGUCCGGAAUUACUGGGCGUAAAGGGUGCGUAGGUGGCACUUUAAGUUGGAUGUGAAAUCCCCGUGCUUAACAUGGGAGCUGCAUCCAAUACUGGAGAGCUAGAGUGCAGGAGAGGUAAGCGGAAUUCCUAGUGUAGAGGUGAAAUGCGUAGAUAUUAGGAGGAACACCAGUGGCGAAGGCGGCUUACUGGACUGUAACUGACACUGAGGCACGAAAGCGUGGGGAGCAAACAGGAUUAGAUACCCUGGUAGUCCACGCUGUAAACGAUGAAUACUAGGUGUAGGGGGUAUCAACUCCCUCUGUGCCGCAGCAAACGCAAUAAGUAUUCCGCCUGGGGAGUACGGCCGCAAGGUUGGAACUCAAAGGAAUCGGCGGGG
rnacentral:rRNA from 1 species